UCCUCACAGUGUGCUCCUUUCUCUUUCAGU
rnacentral:piRNA from 1 species